rnacentral:tRNA from 1 species
GGAGAGAUGUCCGAGUGGUUGAAGGAGCACGCCUGGAAAGCGUGUGUACGUUUAUAGCGUACCGAGGGUUCGAAUCCCUCUCUCUCCGCCA